rnacentral:siRNA from 1 species
CCAAAAUGGACGAAUUUGCCCUGG